AGUGUUCCUUGCUGUGGAAUCAGCCUGAACUUUGCAUCUGUACAGCACACAGGGGAAGCUGAGAAAACAAAUCUGACAGUUUCUUGGACUUUUUCUUAAUUUUGCAGUACUGCGUUCUCAUGGGUGUCCAUCCACAAGGAAGUCACCAGAUCACAGUAUGCACCCUGGCCUGAGUAAAGGGAUAUGUGGAGGAAAUGAGCUUCCUGCUCCUCACAAAGCUGAUUCCACAUGGGUGGCAUUCGUACCACAUCAGUUGCCUCUUCUGGGGAUUUCCACUUAGUACUCAAAGGAAGGAGAUGUAAACUUACUUUCUCAGCGCAAAUGCACAUUACAGCAGCUGUUCUCCAAUCCUUCUGGCUAGCUGUCCUCUUUGGAACAGGCUGCUGUAUGCUUGGAUCAUGCACAACCAUCUCUGAUUAUUCCUUAGGACGCUGGGGGUCUCACAUCAACCUACACAUGCUUUUCUACUCUGCAUCAUUCAAAAUCAAGAAGAUAGUUCCUAAGUCUGUCAAUUUACACCCGUGUUAAAUUCCUCGGGAAGAUGGUGAUGUUGACCUAGAAAAUGAGGUCGCUCCUUUACAUAUUGCUCUGAUUUUUAGCAGUUGUUGUGUUUUGCACACUCUGCCAUCUGAGAGACUUUCUCGGUGUCCAGAGGCUGCAGAGGUGUUAAUCUGUUGUUCCAACUUAACUUUUCCCUUCAUUUUCAUUGAGCCAUAGUGGCCCUGAGGUUAGCAACUGUAGCUCCGACCCACCGAAAUCCUGCAGGUGUCCUCUAGGUGAGCAGAGUGUCCCUGCCUCCAGGGGACUGGUGGCCGCGCUGUGGGAGUGGAGCAGAACAGGUGAGCCUGGAGGAGAAAGGGGGCUGGGGAGCCUUCAGGAGAAAGGGCAGAGCCGUGUGCGCGGAAGCUUGGCCCACAGUUUCCACUGCAGGACAGAUCAAGCACCUUUCAGAAACCUACAACCUGGCUUCUGUCCGCCAGGUAUCUCCUAUGGGCAACACAAAC
rnacentral:lncRNA from 1 species